rnacentral:rRNA from 1 species
AGGACGAACGCUGGCGGCGUGCUUAACACAUGCAAGUCGAGCGGUAAGGCCUUUCGGGGUACACGAGCGGCGAACGGGUGAGUAACACGUGGGUGAUCUGCCCUGCACUCUGGGAUAAGCCCGGGAAACUGGGUCUAAUACCGGAUAUGACCUGCUCUCGCAGUGGGGGUGGGUGGAAAGAUUUAUCGGUGCAGGAUGGGCCCGCGGCCUAUCAGCUUGGUUGGUGGGGUAAUGGCCUACCAAGGCGACGACGGGUAGCCGACCUGAGAGGGUGACCGGCCACGACUGGGACUGAGACACAGCCCAGACUCCACGGGAGGCAGCAGUGGGAUAUGCACAAGUGGGACGAAAGCCUGAUGCAGCGACGCCG